rnacentral:lncRNA from 1 species
ACAAAACACAGCAUGGCUCAAACACGGCGACUCGAUGACUUUUAAAAAAUUAGAACACAGACACAAUAUGUAUACUGCUAAUACAAUAUAGUAUUAUUAAUGAAAUGCGUGUCGAUUACGCAUUUUGCUAAUAUUUUUUUAAUAAAAUGUGUAAUGGACCUGUGUCGAAUGUGCCUCCAUUUGGUGAGAUUAUUGGGGUGUACUCUCCCCGUUUAGGCCCUGACCACUAGCUUUCAUCAUUCUGAUCCCGACCAGCUAAGACUCAUCUCACACUCAACUAGCUAGCAAUAAUAACUUGUUGGGUCCAAUGACCCAAAAUACUUAAGCUCAGUUAUUAUGUUUAGCUUAAUCAAGCUUCUGUACUCCCACAUUUAGUAAUAACUAUCCGAUGUGAGAUUAUUGGGAUGUCAAAAUAUCUCUGUGUCGGACACGAGUCUGAUAUGGAUAUGCAAGACUAAUAAAAGUAUUU